GAUGAACGCUAGCGACAGGCUUAACACAUGCAAGUCGAGGGGCAUCACGGGUAGCAAUAUCUGGUGGCGACCGGCGGAUGGGUGAGUAACGCGUAUGCAACCUACCCACGACGAGGGGAUAGCCCGUUGAAAGACGGAUUAAUACCCCAUAAAACGAGGGGUUCCGCAUGGGACUAUUUGUUAAAGGGUUCUCCGCGGAGGGGGACAUCGGUUGUGGAUGGGCAUGCGUUCCAUUAGGCAGUUGGUGAGGUAACGGCUCACCAAACCGACGAUGGAGUAGGGGAACCGAGAGGUUGGUCCCCCACACUGGUACUGAGAUACGGACCAGACUCCUACGGGAGGCAGCAGUGAGGAAUUUUGGUCAAUGGACGGAAGUCUGAACCAGCCAAGUCGCGUGAAGGAAGGCGGCCCUAAGGGUUGUAAACUUCUUUUGUAAGGGAAUAAAGUGCGUUACGUGUAGUGCAUUGCAAGUACCUUACGAAUAAGGAUCGGCUAACUCCGUG
rnacentral:rRNA from 1 species